AUUGAACGCUGGCGGCAGGCUUAACACAUGCAAGUCGAGCGGGGAGAUGUAGCUUGCUACAUUUCCUAGCGGCGGACGGGUGAGUAAUGCUUAGGAAUCUGCCUAUUAGUGGGGGACAACAUUCCGAAAGGGAUGCUAAUACCGCAUACGCCCUACGGGGAAAGCAGGGGAUCUUCGGACCUUGCGCUAAUAGAUGAGCCUAAGUCAGAUUAGCUAGUUGGUGGGUAAAGGCCUACCAAGGCGACGAUCUGUAGCGGGUCUGAGAGGAUGAUCCGCCACACUGGGACUGAGACACGGCCCAGACUCCUACGGGAGGCAGCAGUGGGGAAUAUUGGACAAUGGGCGCAAGCCUGAUCCAGCCAUGCCGCGUGUGUGAAGAAGGCCUUUUGGUUGUAAAGCACUUUAAGCGAGGAGGAGGCUACUUGGAUUAAUACUCUAGGAUAGUGGACGUUACUCGCAGAAUAAGCACCGGCUAACUCUGUGCCAGCAG
rnacentral:rRNA from 1 species